UGUUGUAUCUCAAUGCCAAAAUAGGGACAACUGGUGUGACCAAUUAAGAUCAAUUAGGUCUCGUCAGUAAGGUGGUAACUAAUUUGCUACUGGCACAAUUAGGACCAAUUAGGCACUGAGGAUGUUUGUAAAAUAGAGGAGUGAAAGCAAUAU